AAUUUUAUAGUUUAAAUAAAAAUUUUAAAUUGCAAAUUUAAAGAUAUAUAAAUAUAUUAAGAUUU
rnacentral:tRNA from 1 species